CCGCGUGCAGGAAGAAAGGUUUUCGGUAUCGUAAACUAGCUUUUCUUCGGGGAAGGAGAACGGACGGUACCCGAGGAAGAAGCCCCGGCCUAACUGCGUGC
rnacentral:rRNA from 1 species